GACGAACGCUGGCGGCGUGCCUAAUACAUGCAAGUCGAGCGAAGUUUUUCUGGUGCUUGCACUAGAAAAACUUAGCGGCGAACGGGUGAGUAACACGUAAAGAACCUGCCUCAUAGACUGGGACAACUAUUGGAAACGAUAGCUAAUACCGGAUAACAGCAUUAACUGCAUGGUUGAUGUUUAAAAGUUGGUUUUGCUAACACUAUGAGAUGGCUUUGCGGUGCAUUAGCUAGUUGGUGGGGUAAAGGCCUACCAAGGCGACGAUGCAUAGCCGACCUGAGAGGGUGAUCGGCCACACUGGGACUGAGACACGGCCCAGACUCCUACGGGAGGCAGCAGUAGGGAAUCUUCCGCAAUGGGCGAAAGCCUGACGGAGCAACGCCGCGUGAGUGAAGAAGGAUUUCGGUUCGUAAAGCUCUGUUGUUAGGGAAGAAUGAUUGUGUAGUAGCUAUACACAGUAGAGACGGUACCUAACCAGAAAGCCACGGCUAACUACGUGCCAGCAGCCGCGGUAAUACGUAGGUGGCAAGCGUUGUCCGGAAUUAUUGGGCGUAAAGCGCGCGCAGGUGGUUUAAUAAGUCUGAUGUGAAAGCCCACGGCUCAACCGUGGAGGGUCAUUGGAAACUGUUAAACUUGAGUGCAGGAGAGAAAAGUGGAAUUCCUAGUGUAGCGGUGAAAUGCGUAGAGAUUAGGAGGAACACCAGUGGCGAAGGCGGCUUUUUGGCCUGUAACUGACACUGAGGCGCGAAAGCGUGGGGAGCAAACAGG
rnacentral:rRNA from 1 species